GUUUGCUAGUGCCACUGAGGAAAGGCCCACAUCUGCCCACCUGCCCCUGGAGGUGACCGGGCCUUCAGAGUUCCAAGGGUCUGUUCACUGGGUUAGUUUUGCCCAUUACUUCAAGAAAACGAGAAAGGUUGAAGGAACUGGGAGUGUCCAGUGAUGGAAACUCCUUUGAGAACUUGUCCAGUAUCAAAGGCAGUAUUUAAGUGGAGUCCAGUGGGUACCAAUUAUAGAGAAGCAGAUUCAAGGAUUCCCAGCUUCUUCUGAAACUUGAAUCCAGGUGCUCGGCAGAUCAAGAGCCCUCCUGUGACACGGCUGGACACAUGGCCAGGGUUGCUCCUGGUGACCCUAAUAGGGCAGCCAAAGUGAGGCAGGCAUGGAGCCGGCUCUAGAGACCCAGGGCGCUUGGCCACAGGAAGUGGCUGGACUCCAGCCCUGGCAGGAGGCCUGCGGCACUGAACACCAGCUUCCACCAAGGCCCCAGGCUAAUUCAGUCUCUCCAUUGUGACGCCUGUGACGCUGACGGGCUGCCUCCCUGUCCCUCCCCCAGAACUGCCCUCUCUUUCACCUCCCUGCUGGUCUUAAGGACUCUCAAAGAUGUCACAUCAGUCCAAUGCCAGGCUGUCAGCAGAGGAGGUGGGGCCUAGAGCCUCUGUGGGACACGAAGACUAAUGGACAGGGACUGACAAGGGGAUGGCCCAGGCCUGUUCUCCCAGGGAGCAGCUCUGCCUCCUGUAAGGGCAGGAUCUGGGCGAAGCUCGAGAAAUCCUCCUGAGGCGCCCAAUGCGCCCGGACACGCCGUGCUGCAGCUCCGCAAGACCAAGUAAAAGUGCCUGGUGAUCUCACGGCUGUGAGACCAGCAGGAACUGCCAGACUGUGUCAUAAUGAAACUAAAGUGGUCCCCGAAUGACUUCUGGUCCAACAUGUUGGUUAACUCAA